ACUGCCUCUAGAGGCCUUGCAAGUGUAGCUGCCAUGUCCUGUCAUUAGGUGGCAGAGAGGGGAGAGGCUCCCUAUGCCUGGCAUCCUGGCUGGGCAUGUCUGGAUGGCAGAUCUCCUGACACU